CGAGAAGGCCGGGACGGCUGGUUGUGGAAUGCGGAUGUGCCGAGGGUUAAUCGGAAUGAGUGGGCGUGAGGCGUGAGCAGGCGGUAUGUUAAGCGGAAGGGGAAAGCGAUGGGCUGAAACGGGGAAUAGCAUUUCGAACGGGCGAACUAGAGUCGUGUAGAGGGGGGUAGAAUUCCAGGGGUAGCGGUGAAAUGCGUAGAGAUCUGGAGGAAUACCGGUGGCGAAGGCGGCCCCCUGGACAAAGACUGACGCUCAUGCACGAAAGCGUGGGGAGCAAACAGGAUUAGAUACCCGUGUAGUC
rnacentral:rRNA from 1 species